UUUGGAUAUGAAUUUGUUGCUCAAAUUUACUAUAACUUUUCCUUUGUGGCUAUCAUGAAUGUUUUGAUGGGUGGCUUCCAGUGUUACUAUGACACUUCCAAGGCAACAUAUGAGCUCAUUCAAAAGAUACUACUUACAGGACUGGAGCCUGGAGCAGUUGAUGUGUUUCUUGAUUUCAUUUACUACUCAGGUGGUCCUCUACCUGAUGAACUGCUCACCCAAGUUAAGGGAAUUCAUGUUUCAGAGGACUUUGUUGCCAAGCAAUUGAGGUCCAUGAUUUCUGAUAUGUAGGUUGAUGUGGUCACUCAGGUUGGCAGCUGGUAUACAGGAAGUCAAAGUUGAAAUGAAAAUGAUGCCCAUCCCAAGCAUUACAACAAAUAUGAUGUUGAACUGUGGUGCUAAUUAUUUCU